GGCCUCGUAGUUCAACUGAAUAGAAUACCACAUUACGGCUGUGGCGGUUGCAGGUUUGAAUCCUGCCGAGGUCACUA
rnacentral:tRNA from 1 species